rnacentral:rRNA from 1 species
ACGCUCGACACCUACGGGAGCGCAGCAGUUGGGAAUAUUGGACAAUGGAGGAAACUCUGAUCCAGUGACGCCGCGUGAAGGAAGAAGGUCUUCGGAUUGUAAACUUAUUUUGUCAGGGAAGAAAAAUGACUGUACCUGAAGAAAAGCACCGGCUAACUACGUGCUAGCAGCCGCGGUAAUCUGAGCGGGCUGGCAAGGC